ACGAACGUUGGCGGCGUGGAUUAGGCAUGCAAGUCGGACGAAUCCCCGGGGGCUUGCUCCCGGGGGGAAGUGGCGAAAGGGGCAGUAAGGCGUGGGUAACCUGCCCGGGGGACGGGGAUAGCCCUCCUAACGGAGGGGUAAUACCCGGCGACGUAGCCUGGGGGCCUCCCCGGGCUACCAAAGGAGUUUCGCCCCCGGAGGGGCCCACGUGCUAUUAGCUCGUUGGCGGGGGUGACGGCCCACCAAGGCGAAGAUGGCUAGCGGGUGUGAGAGCACGACCCGCGCCACUGGCACUGCGACACUGGCCAGACUCCUACGGGAGGCUGCAGUCGAGGAUCUUCGGCAAUGGGCGCAAGCCUGACCGAGCGACGCCGCGUGCGCGAUGAAGGCCUUCGGGUUGUAAAGCGCUGUCGAGGGGGCGGAAGCCCCGCAAGGGGUUGACCCAUCCCUGGAGGAAGCACGGGCUAAGUUCGUGCCAGCAGCCGCGGUAAGACGAACCGUGCGAACGUUGUUCGGAAUCACUGGGCUUAAAGGGCGCGUAGGCGGCCCGCCCGGUCCGGGGUGAAAGCCCCCAGCUUAACUGGGGAAGGGCCUCGGAUACCGGCGGGCUCGAGGGAGGUAGGGGGCGGGCGGAACUUCCGGUGGAGCGGUGAAAUGCGUUGAUAUCGGAAGGAACGCCGGUGGCGAAAGCGGCCCGCUGGGCCUCCGCCGACGCUGAGGCGCGAAAGCCAGGGGAGCGAACGGGAUUAGAUACCCCGGUAGUCCUGGCCCUAAACGAUGGGGUACUAGGUAGCGGACUGGUCUGGGUCCCCUGCCGGAGCCAAAGUGCUAAGUACCCCCGCCUGGGGAGUAUGGCCGCAAGGGCUGAAACUCAAAGGAAUUGACGGGGGGCUCACACAAGCGGUGGAGCAUGUGGCUUAAUUCGAGGCUACGCGAAGAACCUUAUCCUGGGCUUGACAUGUCCGAAAGGGCAGGGAAGUAGGGUGCGGAAACGUUCCCCCAACGGUACCCAGUCCGGAACCCUGCACAGGUGCUGCAUGGCUGUCGUCAGCUCGUGUCGUGAGAUGUUGGGUUAAGUCCCGUAACGAGCGAAACCCUUGUCGCCAGUUGCCAGCGGGUAACGCCGGGGACUCCGGCGAGACUGCCGGUGUUAAACCGGAGGAAGGCGGGGAUGACGUCAAGUCCUCAUGGCCUUGAUGCCCAGGGCUGCACACGUGCUACAAUGGCGUGGACAGAGGGACGCGAGCCCGCGAGGGGGAGCCAAUCCCAAAAAGCACGCCCCCAGUUCAGAUCGCAGGCUGCAACCCGCCUGCGUGAAGCCGGAAUCGCUAGUAAUCGCGGGUCAGCAACACCGCGGUGAAUGUGUUCCUGAGCCUUGUACACACCCGCCCGUCAAGCCACGAAAGGGGGGGGCAUCCGAAGUCGCCGCACCAAGCCGGCGCCGAAGAUGAAACCCCUGAUUGGGACUAAGUCGUAACA
rnacentral:rRNA from 1 species